GCCUCCCCGGCUGCUCGCAGCUCAAACAGCACAGUGAAGGACGGUGCAGGAGAGGUGGCUGAGACACGAGCUGGUGGAGGCAGCAGCAGGAGGAGGAGGAGGAGAGCUGUGGAGGCGAUACAGACACGCUUCACCUGAGCCCUCACUUCCAGGGCGACCCGUGCGGCUGACGAGCGGCAUCCUUUUUAUUUUGGAGGUCACUUUGGGGGAACUGAGACGAGGAGGAGCUGCAGCCGUGUGUGUUCGCUGAGCUCUUUAUAUUGUAUUUUCUUUCUUGUGCGUUCUUCAGCAGCAUGAUGGAUGUGUUGAUGUGAAAAACACAUCAGGGGCUCCACUUAGAAUGAAUAAAUUACAUUGAUAAAUAUG